rnacentral:rRNA from 1 species
AGAGUUUGAUUAUGGCUCAGGAUGAACGCUGGCGGCGUGCCUAACACAUGCAAGUCGAACGGGGUGUCUGAUCUUCGGACUGGACACUUAGUGGCGGACGGGUGAGUAACGCGUGGGUAACCUGCCUCAUACAGGGGGAUAGCAGUUGGAAACGACUGAUAAUACCGCAUAAGCGCACAGUACCGCAUGGUACAGUGUGAAAAAACUCCGGUGGUAUGAGAUGGACCCGCGUCUGAUUAGCUUGUUGGCGGGGUAACGGCCCACCAAGGCGACGAUCAGUAGCCGGCCUGAGAGGGUGAACGGCCACAUUGGGACUGAGACACGGCCCAAACUCCUACGGGAGGCAGCAGUGGGGAAUAUUGCACAAUGGGGGAAACCCUGAUGCAAGCGACGCCGCGUGAAGGAUGAAGUAUUUCGGUAUGUAAACUUCUAUCAGCAGGGAAGAUGAUGACGGUACCUGACUAAGAAGCCCCGGCUAACUACGUGCCAGCCGCGGC